rnacentral:rRNA from 1 species
CCUACGGGAGGCAGCAGUGAGGAAUAUUGGGCAAUGGCCGAAAGGCUGAACCAGCCAAGUAGCGGGAGGGAAGACGGCCCUAUGGGUGGUAAACCUCUUUGAUGCGGGGAGAAAGGUGACCACGUGUGGAUGUUUGCAGGUACCGCAUGAAUAAGGACCGGCUAAUUCCGUGCCAGCAGCCGCGGUAAUACGGAAGGUCCGGGCGUUAUCCGGAUUUAUUGGGUUUAAAGGGAGCGUAGGCCGGUCGUUAAGCGUGCCGUGAACUUUUGUGGCUCAACCCUGAGAGUGCUGCGCUAACUGGCGUCCUUGAGUGCGCGUCAGGCAGGCGGAAUUCGUGUUGUCGCGG